UUAGAGGAGGAACAGCAGCAACUCCGCACCUAUGAGCUUUCUCCCAGACAUCCAGGGUGUUUCGCUCCACCCUUCCAAGGCGGUGCAGGGCAUGACUCAGCUACAUAAAGUGCUUUGCUUCGCUAACUUUUCCAGCAUUCCAAGUUUUUCUGCAGUCUUUUUAAAAGAAGAAUCGGAGGCCGACCUGAAAUUCUUCUUUACACCUAACGAGCAUGCAAUUGGAAGAAUUAAUAGCUACCACAGAUUGUCUUUUUGAGACUAAAAAUCCAGCCUCGGACAAAAAAACUAAAGAGUCCCCAGAGCCCCAAAACUUGACGCUUCCGAAGAGUGGUUAUUCUUCCGAAGGAUCCAGCCAGCCUCUAGAAUUGGUGCAGAGGCCCUCUGGACAGUCUGUUAUUAAACAUCUCUUUUAUGCAGCCCGAAUCUGCGUCGCCAGGAUUACUAACUCAGAUACUCGGGGAUUCACCGCCGUUUGUAUCAUCACCCGGACUUUUCACCCAAAUAGUCGGCGAACCCGAAAGAUCUGAUCCUGGGGCUAAGGCUGCUGAGGUGAAGGUUGAAAUCGAACGUGUGCUGUUGGUUUUUCAAAACUCUUAAUCCUUUCUCCAGCUAUAUACGUGAAAAGGUUAUUUUAUUGUACGCUAUUUUAGAAAACAUGUUCCCCAAAUAUUGUCAGGCAAUAUGAGUGGCGAUGGUCAAAGCAGGAAAAGGCACGCAAGAGAGGACUUGGACAUUGAGAGCGGUUCUCAAAAUGCUGGUUUAUUGCAAAAUAUGGUGAAUGAACUUAGUUAUUCUAUUCGGCCCCCAAAAAUGCCUAUUCCACCACUCUGAUAUUUUAAUGAAUUGAAAUAUAUUAAUUGGCAAAAUCAAAACAUGAUCCAAAUGAAUAAUAUAAUAGCUACCAUGAGAGCUCCUUUAC